rnacentral:rRNA from 1 species
GUAAUAGUUAUGUUCUUGAAACCCAAAGAAUUUGGCGGUACUUUAUUCCUUUUAGAGGAACCUGUCCUGUAAUUGAUAAUCCACGAUGGAUAAUUACUUAUUUUUGUAUUCAUUUUGUAUACCUCCGUCAUCAGAUUAUCUUUUUAGAGUAAAUAUUCUUAAUUUACAAAAUAUUAUAUGUCAGGUCAAGGUGCAAAUUAUGAAUAAGUAGAGAUGGGUUACAAUAAAUUUAUUUAUACGAAUUAAUAUUAUUAUGAAUAUUAUGAAGGUGGAUUUAAUAGUAAAUUUAAUACCUUAUUAUUUUGAUUUAGGAUCUAAAGUGUGCACACAUCGCCCG